rnacentral:rRNA from 1 species
UGCAGUCGAGCGGAUGAGUGGAGCUUGCUCCAUGAUUCAGCGGCGGACGGGUGAGUAAUGCCUAGGAAUCUGCCUGGUAGUGGGGGAUAACGUUUCGAAAGGAACGCUAAUACCGCAUACGUCCUACGGGAGAAAGUGGGGGAUCUUCGGACCUCACGCUAUCAGAUGAGCCUAGGUCGGAUUAGCUAGUUGGUGGGGUAAUGGCCCACCAAGGCGACGAUCCGUAACUGGUCUGAGAGGAUGAUCAGUCACACUGGAACUGAGACACGGUCCAGACUCCUACGGGAGGCAGCAGUGGGGAAUAUUGGACAAUGGGCGAAAGCCUGAUCCAGCCAUGCCGCGUGUGUGAAGAAGGUCUUCGGAUUGUAAAGCACUUUAAGUUGGGAGGAAGGGCAGUAAGUUAAUACCUUGCUGUUUUGACGUUACCAACAGAAUAAGCACCGGCUAACUUCGUGCCAGCAGCCGCGGUAAUACGAAGGGUGCAAGCGUUAAUCGGAAUUACUGGGCGUAAAGCGCGCGUAGGUGGUUCAGCAAGUUGGAUGUGAAAGCCCCGGGCUCAACCUGGGAAUUGCAUCCAAAACUACUGAGCUAGAGUACGGUAGAGGGUGGUGGAAAUUUC